rnacentral:rRNA from 1 species
GUCUACGGCCAUACCACCCUGAACGCGCCCGAUCUCGUCUGAUCUCGGAAGCUAGCAGGGUCGGGCCCGGUUAGUACUUGGAUGGGAGACCGCCUGGGAAUACCGGGUGCUGUAGGCU